CCUACGGGAGGCAGCAGUGAGGAAUAUUGGUCAAUGGACGAGAGUCUGAACCAGCCAAGUAGCGUGAAGGAUGACUGCCCUAUGGGUUGUAAACUUCUUUUAUAUGGGAAUAAAAUGUUCCACGUGUGGGAUGUUGUAUGUACCAUAUGCAUAAGGAUCGGCUAACUCCGUGCCAGCAGCCGCGGUAAUACGGAGGAUCCGAUCGUUAUCCGGAUUUAUUGGGUUUAAAGGGAGCGUAGGGGGAUUGUUAAGUCAGUUGUGAAAGUUUGCGGCUCAACCGUAAAAUUGCAGUUGAAACUGGCAGUCUUGAGUACAGUAGAGGUGGGCGGAAUUCGUGGUGUAGCGGUGAAAUGCUUAGAUAUCACGAAGAACUCCGAUUGCGAAGGCAGCUCACUGGACUGCAACUGACACUGAGGCUCGAAAGUGUGGGUAUCAAACAGGAUUAGAUACCCCUGUAGUC
rnacentral:rRNA from 1 species